CUUACCAAGGUUAGAAGGAGACUACGGUUGCAGUCUUCUCUAUUUAUCACUCACAUCGAAAGACAUUCUUUGUUGCCUAAAGGGUUAGUAGUAAUAGACUGGUUAGUCAGAUGCACUCUUUCUCCUAGUGGUAAAAAAAUAAAUACGAUACUUUAGAUAAUUUCCCGGGUGAAGUGCUCACCGAUAUCCGUGUGCUUGCGGAUCAAUUCCUUAUUGCGUUCCCAAAUAUCAAC
rnacentral:lncRNA from 1 species